AUGAACGCUGGCGGCGUGCCUCAUCCCUGCCAGUCGAGCGCACAGACGAGGAGCUUGCUCCUUUGACGUUAGCGGCGGACGGGUGAGUAACACGUGGGUAACCUACCUAUAAGACUGGGAUAACUUCGGGAAACCGGAGCUAAUACCGGAUAAUAUUUCGAACCGCAUGGUUCGAUAGUGAAAGAUGGCUCUGCUAUCACUUAUAGAUGGACCUGCGCCGUAUUAGCUAGUUGGUAAGGUAACGGCUUACCAAGGCAACGAUACGUAGCCGACCUGAGAGGGUGAUCGGCCACACUGGAACUGAGACACGGUCCAGACUCCUACGGGAGGCAGCAGUAGGGAAUCUUCCGCAAUGGGCGAAAGCCUGACGGAGCAACGCCGCGUGAGUGAUGAAGGUCUUCGGAUCGUAAAACUCUGUUAUUAGGGAAGAACAAACGUGUAAGUAACUGUGCACGUCUUGACGGUACCUAAUCAGAAAGCCACGGCUAACUACGUG
rnacentral:rRNA from 1 species